rnacentral:rRNA from 14 species
CGGCUAACUACGUGCCAGCAGCCGCGGUAAUACGUAGGGUGCAAGCGUUAAUCGGAAUUACUGGGCGUAAAGCGUGCGCAGGCGGUUGUGUAAGACAGGUGUGAAAUCCCCGGGCUUAACCUGGGAAUUGCAUUUGUGACUGCACGACUAGAGUGUGUCAGAGGGGGGUGGAAUUCCACGUGUAGCAGUGAAAUGCGUAGAUAUGUGGAGGAACACCAAUGGCGAAGGCAGCCCCCUGGGAUAACACUGACGCUCAUGCACGAAAGCGUGGGGAGCAAACAGGAUUAGAUACCCU